rnacentral:rRNA from 1 species
GAGAUAGAAAGUUACUUUCGGUACAUCGGUGACAGGUGGUGCAUGGUUGUCGUCAGCUCGUGUCGUGAGAUGUUGGGUUAAGUCCCGCAACGAGCGCAACCCCUAUUGUUAGUUUGCCAUCAUUCAGUUGGGCACUCUAGCGAGACUGCCGGUAAUAAACCGGAGAAGGUGGGGAUGACGUCAAAUCAUCAUGCCCCUUAUGACCUGGGCUACACACGUGCUACAAUGGUUGGUACAACGAGUUGCGAGUCGGUGACGGCGAGCUAAUCUCUUAAAGCCAAUCUCAGUUCGGAUUGUAGGCUGCAACUCGCCUACAUGAAGUCGGAAUCGCUAGUAAUCGCGGAUCAGCACGCCGCGGUGAAUACCGUUCCCGGGCCUU